UACAAAUUCUUUAGCACUGCCUCCAACCCAGAUAUUUAUUAGUAUCAUCAUCCAUAUCAUUUGUAUUCCAAAUGAAUGAUUAACUGUAUGUAGCCUCAUUCCGGCAAAAUUUUGUAUGUAAAUACAUAACAGAGCAUGCAAUGCGACCCAAAACUAUAUACGGGACAGGUCGCAUGUUCAUUAUUCCUUCCAUUCCAUGUAUCUAUAAUAUUAUCUCAGACAACCAUAACGCCUUUUCUUUCUCUCCUCCCGUCAGAGCGCACACCGCGACGACCCCUCCCGGGACCAGGAGUGCACCCCCCCGGGCCAUCUCGAUGGAGAAACGAGAGUGCUUUGCACGCCGGAACGCCGUCAGAGUACACGCGCCGAGGCCAGGGAAGAGAGCCUCAUCAAUGGUGGUGCUGUGAGAACGGCCACCAUCUCCUCUUCUUCGCCGUGUGCAACCUCGGAGCGUCUGUUACCAAAACCAUAGGAAAGAGAGGGUUUCAGCGAUUAAUAUUUAUUAUCAGGCAGAGAUCGCGGUGUCAGUGUGGAAUGUUGGUUGCAUACGUUUGCGACGGGGACUGGACACGCAUUGCAUGUAUGCCAAUGGCAGGCAGGCAUGCUACUCACCGUUCUGUGGAAAUAUCGAGUUGUAGUGAACCUC
rnacentral:lncRNA from 1 species